GUCUCCGUCCUCGAUUAUGGCUCUUGAUGUUUCAGAGAGGGAAAGGGCCAUUAAGGUUUGUUUGAGUAUGGUACUCCGCUUGGCGGCCCCUUGGGUCGCUGGAGCUUCUCUAUAAUGUACAGUAUUUUUUUCCAUUGAAAUGCUAGGCAAAAGAACUCAAAAUUGGUACAAUCGAAAUUUGACAAGCGGAACCCGCAAAAACUGGUCCCCAGAUGCCCCCUCAGGGCAACUCUGCCCUCAUGGGAUAUUCAACUCGACUUCUCACCAAUCCCCUCACGGCUUCACCGUUGGCGUGCUGUGCUUACCGCGACUAGAAUCACUCGCGCGCGAAAUCCAGACUACACAGUGACAAACAAAUCUUGAUUCUCCUUCCUAAAAGUACUCCUUAAAAGAACAGAAGAAACGUGGAAAGAUCGUUGAAGUGGAGGAGACAAGGCUGACCCGGAAAUACGAGCAACCAACCUGUCACGCCAAGACCUAUAUAAAGGUUAUUAAUAGGGUGGAAACUUGAUACCAAAAAUCGUGUUUGCUUUCUUGAAUUGAGCAAUCCUGCCUGAUUCGCCCUCUUCAGAGUUCAGUUCUAACACCAAGAGUGUAUUUCACGACUGAAAAUGAGCGUUUCUUUGCUAUGGGUGGCUUCUACAAUAAGUUUAAUUCUUCUCUGGUAUGUAAAUGAAAGUGGAGGAUCUUUAUCAGGAAAUGGAGCAAACGUUUGUUCAAGAUCGCAAAGUUAUGUGCAGACAUACAAACAAUCUUAUCAAAUGAGUUGGAAGAAAAAGUCAAAAACUAAAUGUGGAUUGUGGGGCUGGGGACGAUGCACAACAUACAGAACAGUGUAUGGCAUGGCUUAUAGAACAGCAACACGUCAAGCAUACAAACAUGUUUAUUUCUGUUGUCCUGGUUGGAAACAGCGAGGAAAUGGUUGUCCAACUGCUAUCUGCAAGAGUGCUUGUAUCAAUGGGACAUGUACAAAACCAGAUACUUGUUCAUGUAAUGCAGGCUUCUACGGAGCAGUAUGUGACAGAGUAUGUCCUUCUCAUAAAUGGGGUCCUCAUUGCCGACAUGACUGCACAUGUCAAAAUGGAGCUAAAUGCCAUUCACGCACUGGCACAUGCACCUGCACUCCCGGAUGGAAGGGUCAGUCAUGUGAUCAGCCCUGUGACCAAGGUUACUAUGGCGACAAAUGUCAAUACCAGUGUGCUUGUCAGAAUGGUGCAACUUGUGAACCUGUUACAGGAAAUUGCUCAUGUGCACCGGGUUAUAAAGGAAAAAGAUGUGGACUUGAAUGUGACCAAGGGUGGUAUGGCCAGAGUUGUGGAAGCAAGUGUAUUUGCCUUAAUGGUGGCAGUUGUCAUCAUGUUACUGGAACAUGCAACUGUACUGCAGGAUGGCAGGGUGAUUUGUGUGGUGUAAAAUGUCCACAAGGAAUGUAUGGAUAUAAAUGUUCCCUGACAUGCAUCAACUGUUUGAAUGGUGCCGUCUGUAACCAUGUGAAUGGAAGCUGUACUUGUGCUCCUGGAUAUCAAGGACAUAGAUGUGGAGAUACCUGUCCUACCGGAACCUACGGGAAUUUCUGUGCUGAAGAAUGCCGCUGUAAAAAUGGCACAUGUUCUCCUGUGGAUGGUACAUGUAAUUGCACUGUUGGCUACACAGGUGCAUACUGUGAUCAGCCAUGCGCAGCAGGCUCAGCUGGGCUGAACUGUACUAAGCAUUGUAAUUGUACUGAGCACGGAACCUGUAAUCAGUUCACUGGAAAAUGCCAAUGUCAGCCUGGCUUUAAGGGUAACCACUGUGAACUGGAGUGCAGUGAGGGUUUCUUUGGACCUCAGUGUAAUGGAAAAUGUCAGUGUCUUAACAAUGCAACUUGUAACAAGGAAGAUGGUACAUGUGACUGUCAGCCAGGAUGGAUAGGAGUUCACUGUGACAACCCCUGCCCUGCUGGGUACUAUGGCAAGAACUGUCAGUCAAAAUGCAGGUGUCAGAAUGGGGGGUCUUGUGACUCUGUUGAUGGCAAAUGUACAUGUGUGAACGAGUGGCAAGGAAAAAUCUGUGAUAUCUUGUGUGAAAGCUGGACAUAUGGUGUGAACUGCAGAAAUUCAUGCUUUUGUAAUCAAACUCGGACAGAACGAUGCCAUGCAAUAACUGGCAAGUGUUUCUGUAAGAAUGGAUUUACAGGCUCACAAUGUAAUCAGCAGAUAAAAUGCAAUGUUGGCUAUUAUGGCAAUAAUUGUAAAAAGAGGUGUAACUGUAACAAUGCUCCAUGUGAUGUUGUUACUGGUGUCUGUGAUUGCCCAGCUGGUGUAAUGCUUCCAUCCUGUACUAACAAGUGUCCAUCAGGUAGUUAUGGUUACAAGUGCCUGGAGGAUUGUCAGUGUCAGAAUGGUGCUUUGUGUGAUCCAGUGAAUGGUGCUUGUUCCUGCACAGCAGGCUGGCAAAGCACAUUUUGCGAACAAGGUUGUCCCGAUGGCUGGUAUGGUCAGGGAUGUAACAGUAGCUGUGAUUGUUUACAUGGCUCUACAUGUCAUCAUGUCACUGGAAAGUGCACCUGCAGUGCGGGAUGGCAGGGACUCACUUGCAACAGUUCGUGUGAUAGUGGAUUCUAUGGAUAUGGCUGUCAAUCUAUUUGUCAGUGUUAUAAAAGUAACACCAUAUCAUGUGACCCUGUUGAUGGGCGGUGCUACUGUGACCCGGGAUGGACUGGGAAAGAGUGCACUUUGUUCUGUCCAAGAGGAAAAUUUGGUCCAAACUGUUCUAAAGAUUGCAAGUGCAGAGAGCAGUCAACAGAGAACUGUGAUCACGUGACUGGGGCAUGCACCUGUCUGGAGGGGUGGAUUGGGGACAAGUGUGACAGGACUUGUUCUGUUGGUUUCUAUGGUUACAAGUGCAAGAAGGAGUGUGAAUGUAAAUUUCCUAACAUGGAUAAAGAAUGUGAUUACAGAAAUGGAGAGUGUAACUGUGAGCCCGGAUUCACCAGUGAAUACUGUAAUCAAACCUGUCCGGAGGGUACCUAUGGAUUUAAGUGCGAGGAGAAAUGUCUUUGCCAGAAUAAUUCAACCUGUGAUAAUGCAUUUGGUUAUUGUGAUUGUUUACCUGGAUUUCAAGGAAAGUUUUGUGAAGAAGUUGUUACCCAGCUCAGCACCGUUGUUCCCAGUGCCGAUAAUAAAAACUCGUCCAAAUCAGGCCGUUCGGCAGGAACUGGUUCCAGUUCAGUUGUGACGCCAGUGGUGGUUGCUGUGGCUGUCACCAUGGUAGCCAUUAUCCUUAUCAUUGUGUUUGUUUACUUGAGAAAGAAGCAUAUCUUGAUAUCCAGGACAGGGAAGGGCUUGUCAGUGAGGAGACUUGUUAAAUCCCCAAAGAGUCGACAAAAAGAAUUUGACGAUGUAAGUGAGGCCGACGAUGACGGUGAUUACGUGACAGAAGACGUGUCGGUAAACCCCAUAUAUGGCCAUUUAUCAGACCCAGAUUCCAUUCCUCUGGAUUUGAUCCAGUCCCCUGGAGACAAACCCACGUCAAUGACAAUGAAAUCUAUCAAUAAUCCAAAUUACGAAAGCACGUUAACGCUUUGUGCUCAACGUGAAAAAGUAGCUAGUAAUCCAAUAUACCAGACAGCAAACGAUAUUGAACAAGACAAUCCAUUGUACGAGACCGGGGCUGGAGAAGCCGAAAGAGGGAUUUCUAAUGUCGAUAUAAACCCACUUUAUGAACCAGGCCCUGCCGGAAGUGUUAGCGGGGGAUCUGGUAACUUGGCUGAUUUGAAUCCUUUGUACCAGUCCGCUGUUUCGUAUCGCAGUCAGAGUGAUUUCAAUCCCUUGUACGAGGGUGCGUCUGACGUGAGCCCGCUGUACGAAUCAGCGGAGUGGCCGAGUCGUGACGCAAAAAGUGGUAAAGUGCGACGGAGGGUUGAUUCGCGAUCGAAAAAAGAAGACAAACAAUGCAUGGAAGAUGAAUUACCCAUCAUCGAUGGAGAGGCCUCUUACUGGCAUACAAAUGAUGACGGUGGGCUUGGCGUGAGUAACAGGGGUGCUGAUAUACCAUUUAAUGAACUGUACGGAAGCGUAGGACAGACUGACUCCUCCCUCCAGGAAAAUGACCCCGAAGCCCCCCCUGUACCUCCAAGAGUGCAUGUCAAGCGAUCCUGAUGAAUCUGGUAGAUAGGUAGGAAGAGUAGUCAGGUAAACUAGAUGAGGAGGGACUGGGAGAGAGAGCCUCGAGAGCAUCAGAAUCUUCUACUAAGAUCGAGCGGGCACGCAUGCGUCUUAGUUGUCAAUCCAUGUGCUGCACGAUUAAUAACCAAGGUUAUGAUGUUUACUACUGCAUUGUACUGAUCGCGGACGGGUUAUGAGGUGCUAGAACGCUGUGGAACUCGGACCAAGGAGUUUACCACUCAGAUUAUCUACUUUCACCAUGCA
rnacentral:misc_RNA from 1 species